rnacentral:rRNA from 1 species
AGCGAACGCUGGCGGCAGGCCUAGCACAUGCAAGUCGAACGGACCCUUCGGGGUUAGUGGCGGACGGGUGAGUAACACGUGGGAACGUGCCUUUAGGUUCGGAAUAGCUCCUGGAAACGGGUGGUAAUGCCGAAUGUGCCCUUCGGGGGAAAGAUUUAUCGCCUUUAGAGCGGCCCGCGUCUGAUUAGCUAGUUGGUGAGGUAACGGCUCACCAAGGCGACGAUCAGUAGCUGGUCUGAGAGGAUGACCAGCCACACUGGGACUGAGACACGGCCCAGACUCCUACGGGAGGCAGCAGUGGGGAAUCUUGCGCAAUGGGCGAAAGCCUGACGCAGCCAUGCCGCGUGAAUGAUGAAGGUCUUAGGAUUGUAAAAUUCUUUCACCGGGGACGAUAAUGACGGUACCCGGAGAAGAAGCCCCGGCUAACUUCGUG